CACUGACGCUGGGGUCAUAGCGCGCGCUUUCUCACACCCAAGCGUGACAGCAAAGACCGGAGAGCCCAGAUUCAGUAUUUCAGUACCCAACGAAACUACAACAACAACAACAACAACAACAACAACAACAACAACAACAACACAGUUUUCAACUUAAACGUUUUACACCGAAAUGGACAGAAAUAGUAACUACGAGUGAACCGAGUAAACGAAAAUGAGAGGGUCCCCCGUCGUUGGAUGGAUCUAUGUCCAUUUCGUCGGAUAGCAGUCUCUUGCCAACAGCUUUACGAGCAUCGACGGAUAUCAUCAUUCGAUUGAUGGCUUCGAGAUCCUGCAUUAAAUGAAAGAAACGAGAUGAACAUUAAAAAACAAUGUUUUUGGACUCAAGAAUUGUGAAAAUUUAUCGGAAGGGCUGCGGCUGAAGCAAUAAGUGAGCUGAGGUGCGACCGAGGCUGUAAUUGCCUUUGGAUCAAGCGUUCGUGUCAUGACGCUACUCGUGACGCGUCUAACGGGGGAAUUGAUGGUCGGUUGACUUCUCGGUAAAGGAC